AGUAAACGGCGGCCGUAACUAUAACGGUCCUAAGGUAGCGAAAUUCCUUGUCGGGUAAGUUCCGACCCGCACGAAAGGCGUAACGAUCUGGGCACUGUCUCAACGAGAGACUCGGUGAAAUUAUAUUGUCCGUGAAGAUGCGGACUACCCGCGACAGGACGGAAAGACCCCAUGGAGCUUUACUGUAGCUUGAUAUUGAGUGUUUGUACAGCUUGUACAGGAUAGGUAGGAGCCAUAGAAACCGGAACGCUAGUUUCGGUGGAGGCGUUGGUGGGAUACUACCCUCGCUGUAUGACCACUCUAACCCGCACCACUAAUCGUGGUGGGAGACAGUGUCAGGUGGGCAGUUUGACUGGGGCGGUCGCCUCCUAAAAAGUAACGGAGGCGCCCAAAGGUUCCCUCAGAAUGGUUGGAAAUCAUUCGCAGAGUGUAAAGGCACAAGGGAGCUUGACUGCGAGACAGACAGGUCGAGCAGGGACGAAAGUCGGGCUUAGUGAUCCGGUGGUACCGUAUGGAAGGGCCAUCGCUCAACGGAUAAAAGCUACCCUGGGGAUAACAGGCUUAUCUCCC
rnacentral:rRNA from 2 species